AUCUCAUUUUCUGGGAUUUUACCGGUGCCAGGUUAGUCGCUGCACAUAGUGUUACACAGUCAUCAUUUUGGUUGAGCAUGGUGUCUACCUUCUCCCAAAGAUGUGGAGUGAAGCAGUUCCACUGUGUCUGCCAUCUCUUGAGUGGGAAUGUGUCAACACACGCGAGAGAAUCAGCUUCAGCCCGCAUCUUCUUCUCUGAAGCUAUCUUUACAUUUGGUCCCAACAUGCUACAUAAGAGGGAAAAUUGCUUGAGCUUGUGAUACGGUAUCGUCAAUACCGCCAGGCUCUCUGCAACAGAAAACUGCAACAGAAAACUUGAUCUGGAAGCACCCUGUGGUCUUCUUGAGAUCCUCCACCAACUUCUCCUGGUCUUUAUUCCUUGUUGCUUUCACCUCGUGGCUCAUCUGUAGCACCUCCUCUCCACCGCUCACCAGUCUUCGAACCUCCAGCAGCUCACCGCUGCGACGUCUCAAGGUGGUUUGGCUGGCACUCGCACUAGAUACUCGGGAAACUGGGAGCUGUGCAUACUGCGCUUGAUUAGGCUAGAUUGCCAUUUCUCGUCCAUUGGGGACAGUGACACGCAUUCAGGCGUGUUCAGGAGAUCAGAUGGGUUGAGUGGAGCAGAUCUGAAGUACGAGAUGCUGUCAAUGUGCUCUUUGUGGUGUCUAAGGAAUCCCUGCUUUGAACACUUACUGCACAGUGGCGUAGGCAGGGGGUGGCAAAGGGGGCAAAUGCCCCCCCUUUUUCUGGAUCUCUACUACUCAGCUCAGGGUGAUCUCAGAAGGAGGGUGAUGUUUUCAAGAUCGCUGAGGUGGUCUAUUUGGAGGUGGCAGAAAGGACACGAUGGGGAUUGGACCACCUGCACAAGCAACCAGCACAGGCAAGCCUACCACACAGCUUUACUUUAACUCAAUCGGUCUGUCUAGUAUGUACAAGCACAGGACAAUCGAAAAAACUCUGUGAGGCUGACAGAUGGUGGGAGGAGCUAUCGAUUUAAUAUGUUUGAUUGCUGACUGGAAGGAGCCUUUUGCUGGUCGCCUCCCACCAACACUGUGAGUCCUAACGCUUAAACAAACUGAGCAAUUAACACUGUGUGCAGACCAGGUCGCAAUCGUUUUUUGUGGGUUGUAAUCUUUUCCGUUGCUUAACAGUAUGAUAAAUAAUGUUAUUGCAUGGGUGACAAUAUGAUUGGGGAUGAAUUGCGUCCACAUCUUCGUCCACAUCUUCGUUCACUUCUAUCCCAAAACCAGAAGAUCAACCUUUCUGUCUGAACAGGAAUACUUAUGGCUCCUGAAGUAACACCCACACACCCCCGACAGUGCUUGGAGAGUGCUACAAGGUGCUCAUCAUCCAUUCCUGAAUGUAUUAUUUGUUGUUAGAAUUAUUUCUUUAACCAUACUAUGUGAGUAUAUCAUUAUUGUAUUGAAGUCGUAAUUAUUUUUUGUAAAUUUUCAAUCCUAA